rnacentral:rRNA from 1 species
AUUGAACGCUGGCGGAAUGCUUUACACAUGCAAGUCGAACGGCAGCACGGACUUCGGUCUGGUGGCGAGUGGCGAACGGGUGAGUAAUGUAUCGGAACGUGCCCAGUCGUGGGGGAUAACGUAGUGAAAAUUACGCUAAUACCGCAUACGAUCAAUGGAUGAAAGCGGGGGAUCGCAAGACCUCGCGCGAUUGGAGCGGCCGAUAUCAGAUUAGGUAGGUGGUGGGGUAAAGGCCCACCAAGCCAACGAUCUGUAGCUGGUCUGAGAGGACGACCAGCCACACUGGAACUGAGACACGGUCCAGACUCCUACGGGAGGCAGCAGUGGGGAAUUUUGGACAAUGGGCGAAAGCCUGAUCCAGCCAUUCCGCGUGCAGGAUGAAGGCCCUCGGGUUGUAAACUGCUUUUGUACAGAACGAAAAGGUUUCUACUAAUACUAGGAGCUCAUGACGGUACUGUAAGAAUAAGCACCGGCUAACUACGUGCCAGCCGCCGCAGUAA